GAUUAUGGCUCACGAUGAACGCUGGCGGCGUGCCUAACACAUGCAAGUCGAACGGGGUUACUGGCAGCGGAGAUUCGGUUGAAGCAGCCUUAACCUAGUGGCGGACGGGUGAGUAACGCGUGGGGAACCUGCCCUGUACUGGGGGAUAACAGUGAGAAAUCACUGCUAAUACCGCAUAAGCGCACAGCAUCGCAUGAUGCAGUGUGAAAAACUGAGGUGGUACAGGAUGGCUCCGCGUUGGAUUAGCCAGUUGGCGGGGUAACGGCCCACCAAAGCGACGAUCCAUAGCCGGCCUGAGAGGGUGAACGGCCACAUUGGGACUGAGACACGGCCCAGACUCCUACGGGAGGCAGCAGUGGGGAAUAUUGCACAAUGGGGGAAACCCUGAUGCAAGCGACGCCGCGUGAAGGAAGAAGUAUCUCGGUAUGUAAACUUCUAUCAGCAGGGAAGAUGAUGACGGUACCUGACUAAGAAGCCCCGGCUAACUACGUGCCAGCCGCAGC
rnacentral:rRNA from 1 species